rnacentral:rRNA from 1 species
UACGGAGGGUGCGAGCGUUGUCCGGAAUCACUGGGCGUAAAGGGCGCGUAGGCGGCGCGGGUAGUCAUCGGUGAAAGUUCAGGGCUCAACUCUGAAUCGGCCGGUGAUACUCCCGUGCUCGAGCACUGUAGAGGCAGGUGGAAUUCCCAGUGUAGUGGUGAAAUACGUAGAGAUUGGGAAGAACACCAGUGGCGAAGGCGGCUAUCUGGGACGGUUUCUGACGCUAAGACGCGAAAGCGUGGGGAGCAAACAGGAUUAGAA